rnacentral:lncRNA from 1 species
AGCCUCUCAACAAGCCCGGAGUCAACAACAUCAUUUGAACUCAGUCCGUUCAUCACUAGGCAUCGGCCUUUCAUGAAUGCAUGCACACCAAGCAUGCAUCAUAAUCAACAUAGCAACAACAGCAUCAUAUAUUCAUGUUAUCAUCAUCAUUAACACAUUCUAUCACAAAAGCAUAUCACAUCAUGCCACAUAAUCAAACACAGUAUU